rnacentral:tRNA from 1 species
GCUAAAAUAGUUUAAAUAAAAACGCAGACCUUGUAUGUCUACAAUACUUAAAAGUUUUUAACU